AAACGUAGGAGGCAAGCGUUAUCCGGAUUUAUUGGGCGUAAAGCGCGUGCAGGCGGUCUAGCAAGUUGGAUGUGAAAGCUCCCGGCUCAACUGGGAGAGGUCGUUCAAUACUGCUAGACUAGAGAAUAGGAGAGGGAGGUGGAAUUCCGGGUGUAGUGGUGAAAUGCGUAGAUAUCCGGAGGAACACCAGUGGCGAAAGCGGCCUCCUGGACUAUUUCUGACGCUAAGACGCGAAAGCUAGGGUAGCAAACGGGAUUAGAGACCCCGGUAGUCCUAGCUGUAAACGAUGUAGACUUGGUGUUGGCGGAGUUAAAUCUGCCGGUACCGUAGCUAACGCGAUAAGUCUACCGCCUGGGGACUACGAUCGCAAGAUUAAA
rnacentral:rRNA from 1 species